rnacentral:lncRNA from 1 species
UGUCCAUAAUUGAUUUAUUAAUACUGGAGUAUAAAACGGCAGCUUUUCCCAUUUUUAUCCUUCUCCACCUUGUUUUGUGCCCAGGGUUAAUGGGAGAUUGUUUUUAGAACAGAGUAAGUUCUCUAAAACCAGGUCUCAUGGCAUGGACAUAUAGUGUGUAUUGAAUAUCUCUUUGAGAUGUUUUGAAAUAAACAGAAAAACAGCUCUUCAAAUAUACAAGAAAGUUAGUCUAAAGCUGAGCGGAUAGGCUUUUAUUAUACUUUUUGAGCCUACAUAUAUAUUUAAAUACAAUAGAUUUAUAUGAUACCGUUUCGUAAGUUGAUAAUAAAAUUAUAAUUAAGAAGCUUACCUGCUAACUUCUGGUACAAAAGAAUCCUCAUUCCUUGUUAGAAGAACAGCUCUACUGAAUACUAAUGCAUGCCAAUUACUAAUACUAAUUAAAACAGGCAUGAUUAUAGCACAAGAAUAGACUGACAAGCCAAUGGAACAGAAUAGAUGGCUCAGAAAUAAAUCAUACGAAUAUAUGAUAUAUGACGGAAGAGAAAUCACAAGUCAGCAGAGAAGAGGAAUACUGAAUCAACAAAUAAUGCUAUUACUCAUUAGGAAAAGAAGCCAGUUUAGUCAUUAUCUUGUACCAUGGACCCACAUAAAUUCCAAGUGAAUAAAAAAAGUACAGUUGGUUUAAAAAAUUAAUCUAUCAAAAGCUAGAAGAAAUAGUAUCAAAUACCAAAGUUUUAGAAAGAAAACAUUCUAAGCUUAAAACAGUGAAAGAAAUUAAAAGGAAAAAUCAUCUGAUUUAACUACAUAUAAAUUUUAAAUCAUUCAAAAGAAUUAAAAUUGAAAAGUAAACAGCAAACUAGGGAAAUAUUUAUAGCAAAUAUAUAAAAAUGCUUAAAAUCUUACUCAUUGAUAUGAAAGAACUAUAAACUCCUAUAGAACACAAAACAGUGAGAUCGUUUUUCCUUUUCCUAAUCAUAACCAGUUUUACUUAGAUUUCUCUCUAGUCAAGGCCAAAACUCAUCUAACUGAAUAUCAGCACCUUGGGCAGAUGUAGAGUGAUUUUUUAGAGGCCUUGCUGUUACAUGAUCUCAUAGACUGGCGCUCUCAAACAACGGCUCCCGAGGUUGGAUGUUAAAGUCCAUACUUCUGUUUUCAACAACUCGAAAACAUUUACCCUCAGCUAUCCAUUUCUAACUUUGGUUGAUGCUAAUCGUAUCCGACUCUUCAGUGCAGCAACUAGCAGCUGGCCAAUGGGGUAACUCUUUGCACUUUUUCAGAGGGAGAUGCAGUAAGAAAACAGAGUUAAAACAACACAUGGAAUUUCUGGCCAACAGCUUUGCUCAUAAAGUUUUAGGAAGUUCAGCCAAGUCUCCUUAACCCCUGCUUCAAAUGUGAUUUCUCCUUCAUCUUCGCUCAAGUGGCCAGGCACGCAGAAAACCAGGAAGACCAAAGGAAACAGGAAACAUAUUCCAAUGUGCUAAUAUGAAUAUACAAAAUUACAACUUCAACCAUCUUACUACAAUUCCAGAGAACAGUACCUAACGUGUGAUUCUAUUUACAUAGAGCAAACAGGGAAAUGGCCUUUGUAAGAGCCAGUUAUUCAAGCACAGCCACUAUGAGGGCAUAGAACCAUGUGUCAGAGCCAGAGAGGGAGAUGGUUCCGAAGUCAAGAGCAUCUGAAACAGCCUCCAAAUGUUAGAC